GACGAACGCUGGCGGCGUGCUUAACACAUGCAAGUCGAACGGAAAGGCCCUGCUUUUGUGGGGUGCUCGAGUGGCGAACGGGUGAGUAACACGUGAGUAACCUGCCCUUGACUUUGGGAUAGCUUCAGGAAACUGGGGCUAAUACCGGAUAGGAGCUCCUGCUGCAUGGUGGGGGUUGGAAAGUUUCGGCGGUUGGGGAUGGACUCGCGGCUUAUCAGCUUGUUGGUGGGGUAGUGGCUUACCAAGGCUUUGACGGGUGGCCGGCCUGAGAGGGUGACCGGCCACAUUGGGACUGAGAUACGGCCCAGACUCCUACGGGAGGCAGCAGUGGGGAAUAUUGCACAAUGGGCGGAAGCCUGAUGCAGCAACGCCGCGUGCGGGAUGACGGCCUUCGGGUUGUAAACCGCUUUCGCCUGUGACGAAGCGUGAGUGACGGUAAUGGGUAAAGAAGCACCGGCUAACUACGUG
rnacentral:rRNA from 1 species